CUUAACCACCGUGCCGUCCCAAACAUGUUUAUUUCAAAGUGACACACAACAAUAUAAAAUGCAUACAAAUAGUCAUUAGGCACUGGGUGUGAUAGGAGUGGACCAAAGUUGAGCCUAAAAUUGGGCGCAGCAUUAAAAUUGGUGUAUUAAUCCAGUAAUGUUUUCUCAGAUUCAUACCUUUCCACAAUUAAGAUAAUUAAAAAGCUGUUUACAUAAGAACUUCCCUAGUUUGAGUAUUGCCUUAAUCUGGUUCAACUCUGAUUUUAGUGUGCAUGUAUAUCCGAGAUCUGCGUUUUUCUGCGCUUAAAUGGUGAUUAAUGGCAAGUGAGCGGAUGAGAGGCUGCUCUGUUGCGAGUGCGCUUUUUUUCCACAAGAGAGAGCCAAAUCUAUUGACUUGUACCCUGCAAUAAUUCAGCCAGUGCAUUUUUGCAUGAGCUCUUCCUAGUCGUUUAAUACAGAUGCUCCGACUUAAAUUUACAUUUUCCCCAUAGGGAUUUAAUUUUUUGCCGAAAAUAAGGUCUGUGGUUAACGUAAGUCUAGGAGAGGUCCAUGUUUUGUUCUACAAGAUAAAUUACAACCAUUAUUAUCACCACCGUGGAUUUCUAAGCUGUUACGUGCUUUUAAUAAGUAAGUUGCUAUAUUGAAACGAAUUACUAUUUAAUUAAUUAAAUUAAUACACACAAACGUUCUUCACAAUUAUUUGUUGUCAUGAAAAAUGGACCACUUAUAUUGCUUUAUUUUUCUAUAAAUUUAUCAAAUAAAAUUAAACGAAAUUUUACAAAAAGAUCCAUACGUUUAACUAUGAGGUAAACAUUUUGCGGAAUGCGCAAUGUAGCUCCAGUGCAUAAAAUGGACAGAGAACCUAAGAAAUGACCAUUAUCCCCUUUAUUCAAUUGAUUACGUUUUGACCAACCGUGACGCAUUAUUUGUAUUUUUGAAAGCACUUAUGGGAUUUGUAGUCAGUAAGUAGUUGUGAUCACUAAAUCGGAUCUGACGUUGGACUUCGAAAGGCCAUGUGCUGCACAACAACAGUGCUCGACCGAAAGGAAGCUGUAGUUUACAGGGGUGUGCAUCAGUGGAAUUGGUGCAGGGAGCUACAGGUGAAGGGUUUGCUUCCCUCUGCUGGACAAGAAAUGACAUUACAGCAGAGCAAGUCGGGCUUAAAAAGUUCUGCACUCCUUCGUUAUGAUCAAAAAUAUUUUUUGUAUGAAGAUUUUUAAUGCUGCGCACAAUUCAAAAUAAUAAAUAUUUACUGAAAUUAAAA